rnacentral:rRNA from 1 species
GCUUCAUUCAAAUAUCUGCCCUAUCAACUUUCGAUGGUAGGAUAGUGGCCUACCAUGGUUUUAACGGGUAACGGGGAAUAAGGGUUCGAUUCCUGAGAGGGAGCCUGAGAAACGGCUACCACAUCCAAGGAAGGCAGCAGGCGCGCAAAUUACCCAAUCCCGACCGGGGAGGUAGUGACAAUAAAUAACAAUAUUGGGCUCUUUUGGGUCUUAUAAUUGGAAUGAGUACAAUUUAAACCCCUUAACGAGGAACAAUUGGAGGGCAAGUCUGGUGCCAGCAGCCGCGGUAAUUCCAGCUCCAAUAGCGUAUAUUAAAGUUGUUGCAGUUACCAAGCUCGUAGUUG